rnacentral:rRNA from 1 species
AACCAACAUAAGUUGGUUUAUUACACAGUUUACUGUGUAAGGCAAACCGGGAGAAGUGAAACAUCUCAGUACCCCGAGGAAAAGACAUCAAAUGAGAUUCCGUAAGUAGCGGCGAGCGAACACGGAGGAGCCGAUCAAUUUUACAGUAGCAAAAUGGCGUGGGAAAGCCAACCAUAGUAGGUGAUAGUCCUGUAUGCGAAACUGUUUAAGCGACAUAUUAAGUAGGGCGGAACACGAGAAAUUCUGUCUGAAGAUGGGGGGACCAUCCUCCAAGGCUAAAUACUCCUGACUGACCGAUAGUGAACC